ensembl:lncRNA SOX2-OT SOX2 overlapping transcript
AAGGAUUGAGAAGUUUUGCAGUGGUCAACUGGUAUAGACAUCCCAUUACCACUACUUCCUUCAUUGGACUGCAAGGUAUUUCUGUUUGGAAAAGUAAUGGAGUCCAGUCAACUUCAUUGAUCGCCAAGGACUGUCAAAAUUAUAAAACUUGCUGUGGAGCUCUGACAUGCCAGAAGCCGCUAGAAAAAGAAGUUUGACAUUCAGAAACUUAUCAAGAGGUUCUACUCUUUGGAUAGAGACCAAAAUCAUACUUUGAAAAAGCCUGACAGGUUUCUUCGGAAAAGUGGCCAUCCAUGGAAUGAAUGAAAUGUUCUCUUUCUAUUCCACCUCUAGAGACCAUCAAAAAACAAUGGCUCAUAAUGCUUUUAGAACAGAAACUGAAGUUGUAUACUGUGCAUAUGUAAUCCUACACAAGAGGAAGGCAAUGUUUAAAGCUGCUGUCACCUCUUAGGGAAAAAACUGGAAUUCUGAGUCAAGGGAUUGCAGUGGCAAAGCUAGGCUAGGUCUUGGAGGCUGGUGUAAGGCGAUGUGGGUGAAGGCAGGAGGCUGAUGGAAAGACUGGGGGGAAGAAAAGCCGAAAUGGAUUCACGGUGCCUUGGAUGAAGGACGAGAGGGGAACUGCAAGCUCCUUCAACUGGUUCUGUCCGGUGAGAAGUGAUCAAGCUUGGGCUGACA